rnacentral:rRNA from 1 species
CAGUAGCCGCGGUAAUACGAAGGGGGCUAGCGUUGUUCGGAUUUACUGGGCGUAAAGGGCGCGUAGGCGGGCGAAUAAGUCAGGGGUGAAAUCCCAAGGCUCAACCUUGGAACUGCCUUUGAUACUGUUUGUCUUGAGUUCGAGAGAGGUAAGUGGAACUGCGAGUGUAGAGGUGAAAUUCGUAGAUAUUCGCAAGAACACCAGUGGCGAAGGCGGCUUACUGGCUCGAAACUGAUGCUGAGGCGCGAAAGCGUGGGGAGCAAACAGGAUUAGAUACCCCAGUAGUCCCUGUCUCUUAUAC